AUACGGAGGAUGCGAGCGUUAUCCGGAUUCAUUGGGUUAAAGGGUACGUAGGUGGCCCGGUAAGUCAGUGGUGAAAACCUGCCGCUUAACGGUAGGCGUGCCAUUGAUACUGUCGGGCUUGAGUGCAGUUGAGGCAGGCGGAAUGUGUAGUGUAGCGGUGAAAUGCAUAGAUAUCACAAAGAACUCCGAUUGCGCAGGCAGCUUACUAAACUACAACUGACGCUCAGGCACGAAGGCGUGGGUAUC
rnacentral:rRNA from 1 species